GACGAACGCUGGCGGCGUGCUUAACACAUGCAAGUCGUACGGUAAGGCCCUUUCGGGGGUACACGAGUGGCGAACGGGUGAGUAACACGUGAGUAACCUGCCCACAACUUUGGGAUAACGCUAGGAAACUGGUGCUAAUACUGGAUAUGUGCUCCUGCUGCAUGGUGGGGGUUGGAAAGCUCCGGCGGUUGUGGAUGGACUCGCGGCCUAUCAGCUUGUUGGUGGGGUAGUGGCCUACCAAGGCGGCGACGGGUAGCCGGCCUGAGAGGGUGACCGGCCACAUUGGGACUGAGAUACGGCCCAGCCUCCUACGGGCGGCAGAGGUGGGGAAUAUUGAACAAUGGGCGCAAGCCUGAUGCAGCAACGCCGCGUGCGGGAUGACGGCCUUCGGGUUGUAAACCGCUUUCAGCAGGGACGAAGCUUUUUGUGACGGUACCUGCAGAAGAAGCACCGGCUAACUACGUG
rnacentral:rRNA from 1 species